CCCCCCCCUCCCAGCCAGGAAUUCCUUCCCAAUAUCCCAGGGAAGGAUCCCUUGUGUCCUGGUAAGGAGCAGUGUGGUUGUUUCCAAACCUUGCUUCCCAAUCCCGAUCCCUGCCAGGAGCUCAGCCACUGCCUCUUCCCGUUGUAUUCCUUUCUUCCUUUUUUCUUUGUAUUCCCAGUUUCCCUUUUCCCUUUGUAUUCCCUUCUCCCCUUUCCCUUUUCCCCUUGUAUUCCCUUUUUCCUUUGUAUUCCCAUUUUCCCUCUAUAUUCCCCUCUUCCCAUCUUCUUUUCCCUUUGUAUUCCCAGUUUCCCUUUCCCUUUCUAUUCCCUUCUUCCCACCUGCUUUUCCCUUUGUAUUCCCUUCUUCCUUUUCCCUUUGUAUUCCCUUCUUUCCAUUCCCUUUUCCCUGUGUAUUCACUUCUUCCUUUUUCCUUUGUAUUCCCAGUUUCCCUUUUCCCUUUGCAUUCCAUUCUUCCCAGUUUCCCUUUCCCUUUGUUUAUUCCCUUCUUCCCAUUCCCUUUUUCCAUUGUAUUCCCUUCUUCCCAUUCCCUUUCCCUUUAUAUUCCCUUCUUACUUUUUCCUUUGCAUUCCCAGUUUCCCUUAACCUUUGUAUUCCCUUUUUCCCACUUCUCCUUUGUAUUCCCUUCUUCCCUUUCCCUUUGUAUUCCCUUCUUCCCAAUUUCCCUCUCCCUUUAUAUUCCCUUCUUCCCACUCACUUUUCCUUUGUAUUCCUUUCUUCCCAGUUUCCCUUUCCCUUUGUAUUCCCAAUUUCCCUUUCCCUUUGUGUUCCCUUCUUCCCAUUCCCUUUUCCCUUUGUGUUCCCUGUUUCCCUUUCCCUUUGUGUUCCCUGUUUCCCUUUCCCUUUGUAUUCCCAGUUUCCCUUUCCCUUUGUAUUCCCAGUUUCCCUUUCCCUUUGUAUUCCCUUCUUCCCAUUCCCGUUUCCUUUGUAUUCCUUUCUUCCCUUUCUCUUUUCCCUUUGUAUUCCCAAUUUCCCUUUCCCUUUAUAUUCCCUUCUUCCCUUUCCCUUUUCCUUCGUAUUCCCUUCUUCCCAGUUUCCCUUUUCCCUUUGUAUUCCCAGUUUCCCUUUUCCCUUUGUAUUCCCAGUUUCCCUUUUUCCUUUGUCUUCCCUUCUUCCCUUUUUCUUUUCCAUUUGUAUUCCCAGUUUCCCUUUCCCUUUUUAUUCCCUUCUUCCCAUUCCCUUUUCCCUUUGCAUUCCCUUCUUCCCAGUUUCCCUUUCUCUUUGUAUUCCCAGUUCCCCUUUGUCUUCCCUUCUUCCCAUUCCCUUUUCCCUUUGCAUUCCCAGUUUCCCUUUCCCUCUGUAUUCCCUGGGAGAGGAAAGUUGGGAUCAUCCCAGGAUCCCUCCCUGCCGGGCAGGGAUUUUCCAGGAUGUGGGAUCCACGUCCUUGUGGCGCCUCAGGGCCCCCAAAUUCCCGGUGGGAGAACAUUCCCAGUGCCCAAUUGGGAAUAUUUGGGUGGCCAGGCUUCCCAGACCCCCCCUGUCCGUGCCUGCCAGCGGGAAUUUUCCCUGGAAUGCCCCGUUUUCCUUGACUUUGGGGCUCAGGAUCGAGAGCAAACACGAGGUGACGAUCCUGGGAGGACUCAACGAGUUCGUCGUCAAGUUUUAUGGACCACAAGGAAGUAAGUUUGGGAAAACCCCCCCCUCUUCCCAAAAUUCCAGCUGCUGGCUCAGCCCAGGCUUUCCUAGGCCUGGCUUG
ensembl:lncRNA